GGUACCCACAGAAGAAGUCCCGGCAAACUCCGUGCCAGCAGCCGCGGUAAUACGGAGGGGGCAAGCGUUGUUCGGAAUUAUUGGGCGUAAAGGGCAUGUAGGCGGUUCGGUAAGUUAAAGGUGAAAUGCCAGGGCUUAACCCUGGAGCUGCUUUUAAUACUGCCGGACUAGAGUCCGGGAGAGGAUAGCGGAAUUCCUAGUGUAGAGGUGAAAUUCGUAGAUAUUAGGAGGAACACCAGUGGCGAAGGCGGCUAUCUGGUCCGGUACUGACGCUGAGGUGCGAAAGCGUGGGGAGCAAACAGGA
rnacentral:rRNA from 1 species